AAAUUGAAGAGUUUGAUCAUGGCUCAGAUUGAACGCUGGCGGCAGGCCUAACACAUGCAAGUCGAGCGGUAGCACAGAGAGCUUGCUCUCGGGUGACGAGCGGCGGACGGGUGAGUAAUGUCUG
rnacentral:rRNA from 1 species